UUCAAUACCUUAAAUUCAGUGAGGGUAUAAUCCCUAACAUUUAAAACGUCAAAGUGAUGAAAAUUAUAUUUAACUUAAGAUUAUCUUCAGAAGAACAGUCUAGCUUUUAUAUAUCUUUAUUUUUUUCUAUUUCAAAUAUGUACAGUACUGCCACCUCAAGAUUCAUAUUUAAUUGGACUACUGAAGAACCAAUCUGAUUCUUAUGAAUUGGCUAAAUAUAAAGCCGUAGAAUCUGAACGUGAAAGUUCAGACGUGAACUUGAGUGAGGAGAAGAGGAAACCCAAAGUGAUAGCAGUAUUGAAGAGAACCUCCCCCCUGCAUUGCCAAGUAGGCCAACCCCUAUAACCAUACAGCCAACUCUAAUCGGAGCAAAGACAAUCACUUCUAAAAUUACUCAUCAACACGCGUGUUGCUCAAGCCCCCCAAAAAAGAGGAGUCUGUCGAUACUAUAUUCUGAAUUCCUAGCUUUCAAAAGAGAAACCGCCCCUACGCUGACAGAAAUUUCAGAGCAGCUGGCGGUCCUAACAGAAAAUGAAAGUUUGGCAUUAAGGAACCAAAC